CUGGCAAAGGAACUAAGUAAAAAUUAUGUAACGAACAUUCCCUUUAAGUGACUUAAAACUUUACAUCCUCACAAUUUCGGAAACAUAGGUUACCAGAGUUUUAAAUCAUGUUCACUCGAUUUAAUUUCUGCAAUAGUCUUGGAUGAAACGCAAGAGAACAAAAUUAACUGAUGGAAGGAAGAAUUUUGAUCACAUUUUUACAGCUUUCCCUCUCUUCCUUCCCCUCUCCACCGCCUUGUUUAUUUACAUAUUUUCUAACCUCAAAAAAAGCAUGCAGGAGCUGGCAGGAGCGAGCAGAUAGACGUAUCACAGUUUUUUAUCUAGUUCUCACAAGUGUUUUCACUAGUUUAAUCCUUUUUAUCAUGUAAUAUACUUUAUUCUAUUACCAGGAAUCAUGGAUUCUGAAACUAAAAGUGCUUUUUUAGUUCUAAAGCCUGUCUGCGACAAAGUGGCAUUGAGUCCGAGCAAGUCAACUUUAUGGGAUUUGAAAGCAACAAUAGGCUCGGUGCCUAUCUCAGGGCUGUUAAGGCUCAAGGACUAUGUUAUUUUCCCUCUGGAAUUGCAUCUACACAACCACAAAAAUCUGAGCCAAGAAACUUUGAUCUCCUUAGUUGAGUGUCUAAAAACAGUCCUUCAGAGAAUUUCUCUAACAGAGUUGAAGAACUUUCUCAAGCUAUAUUCCCUCAUGUUCUCACUGACCUCAAACCCUCAGAAUCCUGAACUCAGUAAAGAUGUGCCAGAAGAGCUAACAUUGAGUGUGGUAGAAUGUGUUGCACAGCUCUUCAUCAAAUCAGAUCCUAGCGUAUUAGUUGAGUUUUAUUCAAGACCUUACUACCCGAAAUUGAGCUUUGGGGUUUACACUUGCAAUCAAAUCGUGAAAAACGAAAAAUUCCAUACUCUCAGAGUAAGUGCCUUGAAUUGUCUAAUGAUCAUGACUGGCUCAUUAUUUGAUGAUGAAGUAAAGAAAUCCUGCUCAAACAUAGUGAUGCUUAUGUUACCUGGAAUUGUCUCUCUGUGCCAGGCAACUGCUGCUUUAAAUGUCAUGCAAACCACCAGGUUACUUUGAUGGCUUUGCGAUUGUGGUGUCACGUUGUUGUUCUCGUCAUGGAUGACAACUUGAAGGUGCAGGAAUCAGAUGACCGUAGUUUGUGCAAACUAGAGACCAGCACGAAAGAAAAGAUUAAACAGAUAAUGGACAUGCAGCAAAGAACUGAGGCUUGGCUGGCAGACACCAGCAAAAAUUUGGCGCCCGUUACUGAGAAUAUUGUCAGUGUAAGGAGUCAUUCACAUUGGAAAGUGAGACAUGAGCUUGCUGUUGCAAGUGAUCGCAUAGUAUCUAAUUGCCAGAGGUAAAAGAAAUUCUCUUGUUCUAAGAUUUCAAACAUUAUUUGAAUUGUCAAGCAUUUCCUCAACUAUGCGUUGGUUUUCUUGCAUUUGUCAGCUUGGAAAACGUGCAUUUUUCUAAAUUUUGUAUUUCAAAAUCUCGGGAAUUUUUCCUCCGGAUCUAGUGAAACUUUGAAGGAAAAAUUUGGGCACUUCCAACAAAUUUGACAAAGGAAUGACGGUUUCGGUGUAAAAUAAAACCUUUUGACACGUACGUUCUCUCCUUUUAAUUUCAAAAAAUCUCUCUUUUGUAAAAAUAUUGAUGUAAAACCAAGAAAUAAUAAAUAAUAAU
rnacentral:lncRNA from 1 species